rnacentral:rRNA from 1 species
UACGUAGGGUGCGAGUGUUAAUCGGAAUUACUGGGCGUAAAGCGUGCGCAGGCGGUUUUGUAAGCCAGAUGUGAAAUCCCCGGGCUCAACCUGGGAAUGGCAUUUGGGACUGCAAGGCUUGAGUGCGGCAGAGGAGACUGGAAUUCCUGGUGUAGCAGUGAAAUGCGUAGAUAUCAGGAGGAAUACCGAUGGCGAAGGCAGGUCUCUGGGCUGACACUGACGCUCAUGCACGAAAGCGUGGGGAGCAAACAGG